rnacentral:rRNA from 1 species
GCCGCCCGCUGGCGGCGUGCUUAACACAUGCAAGUCGAACGGAAAGGCCCUGCUUGCAGGGUACUCGAGUGGCGAACGGGUGAGUAACACGUGGGUGAUCUGCCCUGCACUUCGGGAUAAGCUUGGGAAACUGGGUCUAAUACCGGAUAGGAGCCAUCUUUAGUGUGGUGGUUGGAAAGUUUUUUCGGUGUAGGAUGAGCUCGCGGCCUAUCAGCUUGUUGGUGGGGUAAUGGCCUACCAAGGCGGCGACGGGUAGCCGGCCUGAGAGGGUGUACGGCCACAUUGGGACUGAGAUACGGCCCAGACUCCUACGGGAGGCAGCAGUGGGGAAUAUUGCACAAUGGGCGCAAGCCUGAUGCAGCGACGCCGCGUGGGGGAUGAAGGCCUUCGGGUUGUAAACUCCUUUCGCUAGGGACGAAGCUUUGUUGUGACGGUACCUAGAUAAGAAGCACCGGCUAACUACGUG